AUACGUAAAAAGGAAACCCCUUUCAAAGUCUAACUCCCCGAACACGAACAGCAUCGGCAUGCGCAGUGAGACCCUCCAACUCAGCAAGACGAAUAACAGUAGGGCCCAACCGCUGGAUUCCUUCUUCAGUGAGCUCUUGGGUAGUGAUAUAUUUUAAGAAGCUAUCGGUACUAACGCCAGAAUAAGAAGAGGCGUACCCGUAUGUAGGAAGCGUAUGGUUGGUACCAGACGCAUAGUCACCCAUACUUACAGGUGACCAAGGACCAACGAAAACGCUACCAGCAUUAUCUAUUUUGGGAAUGUAUGAAGAAGCAUUUUUUAAGUGCAAGACCAAGUGCUCAGGACCAUACAAAUUAGACCAUUCAAAAGCUUGAUCAACAUUGUCAACCUGUACAAUAACCGACUUCUUGAUAGCAUGUUUGAUGAUAUACGAACGAGAAAGUCGUAAAGCGUGAUCAUUAAUUGCUUUUUGAAUACGGUCAAACAUUUCGGGAGAUAGAGAGACAGUCAGCAAAAUGAUCUGACUGUCCAAACCAUGCUCUGCUUGAGACAAUAAAUCCAAGGCAACACUUUCAGGAUUACAGGUCUCAUCUGCUAUUACCAAAACUUCUGAGGGACCAGCAGGAAGAUCAAUAGCAACUAAAGCCCCGUAAUCAUUCUGAACAUGCAUCUUUGCAGCUGUAACAAAUUGAUUUCCAGGGCCAAAAAUUUUGUUAACUUUAGGAACACCGGAUAUUCCAUAUGCCAUGGCCGCAAUUGCUUGCGCCCCGCCUGCCAAAAUAAUAGCCUCAGCACCAAUUUUAUUUGCAAUAUAUACAAUUUCAGGCGCAACCGUACCAUCCUUUCGGACUGGCGUAGAAAUCACUACAUGAGGACAGCCAGCUACCUUCGCCGGAACUCCAAGCAUCAAAGCAGUAGAUGGCAACACUGCAGUUCCUCCAGGGAUAUAAAGACCAACUCGGUUAAUAGGACGAGACAUCCGUUGACAGACUACACCACGCAUGGUUUGAACAGCAAUUGUAGGACGCAGCUGUGAUGAAUGGAAAGCAAAAAUAUUGUUAAAAGCAAUAUCAAUAUCCUCUUUAAUCAUUGGGGAUAUUUUCAUUAAGUCGUCGUCAAACGGAGCCUUUAAGACAGCCGACUUCAAUUGAACCUUUUCAAAUUUGGAAGCAUAAUCUAUUAGAGAAGCUUCUCCUCUUGAUUUAACAUCCUCGAUUAUCGGUUGGACAAUCGUACGAAUUUUUUGAGUGUUCUGAAUGGGUCUUGCAAGUAAUCGUGUACGUUCUUCGGCGGUUAAUGCAGCAGCUCUAUAAGAAGGCACCUGAAUCUCGUAUUCCGGCAUUAUUAAGUAAAUUAAAGGUAGUCAAGUCUAAAUCGACUCUCUAAAAAUUUAAUGCAAUGUUGGCUAAGGAAUGGCUGGAUCGGUGAAUACUCGAUUUCCCUUACAGCAAAGAUCUAAAUUUGAUAUGUCUUCGGAUAAACCGCGGUUGCAACUUUUUAUCCGCGGUAAUAGAAUUAACAAAGAUCGAGAGAAACAAAAAAAAAUUUAUUAAAUAAUCGUAGUUGUAUUAUUAAAAUUAAUCUAAAACGUUUCAUCUUCAUUGGCAUUACAAUCUUUAGUAUAGUGAAGAAUCCACGAAAGCACUUCUUUAUGCCAACGUAGGGAAUUAUCAGGUUUAAUGACCCAAUGGUUUUCGUCUUCAAAGACUAGUAAUCUGCUAGGAAUUCCCUUGUACUGCAAAACAUUGAAUGCGGCUAUUCCUUCACUUUCGGUAAGCCUGUAAUCCUUUGAGCUAUGAAUUACAAGUUCAGGAGUGGCCCAAUAAUUCACAAAAUUUGAAGGAUUCCAGCGCUCAUAGAUAACUCUGUUUUCCCAAGGAGUACCCCCAAAAU